rnacentral:rRNA from 1 species
UACGUAGAGUGCAAGCGUUGUCCGGAAUUAUUGGGCGUAAAGGGUACGUAGGCGGAUAGUAAAGUCAAGCGUGAAAGGUGUCGGCUUAACCGACAGACUGCGUUUGAAACUGAUUAUCUUGAGUGUAACAGAGGAGAGUCGGAAUUCCUAGGUGUAGUGGUGAAAUACGUAGAUAUUAGGAAGAACACCAGUGGCGGAAGGACGACGUCUCUGGGUUAACACUGACGCUGAGGUACGAAAGCUGGGGGAGCGAACGGGAUUAGAUACCCCUGUAGGU